AUUGAACGCUGGCGGCAUGCUUUACACAUGCAUGUCGAACGGUAACAGGCCUUCGGGUGCUGACGAGUGGCGAACGGGUGAGUAAUGCAUCGGAACGUACCCAGAGGUGGGGGAUAACGCAGCGAAAGCUGUGCUAAUACCGCAUGUGAUCUGAGGAUGAAAGCGGGGGACCGAGCAGCAAUGUUUGGCCUCGCGCCUUUGGAGCGGCCGAUGUCGGAUUAGCUAGUUGGUGGGGUAAAGGCCUACCAAGGCGACGAUCCGUAGCUGGUCUGAGAGGACGACCAGCCACACUGGGACUGAGACACGGCCCAGACUCCUACGGGAGGCAGCAGUGGGGAAUUUUGGACAAUGGGCGCAAGCCUGAUCCAGCAAUGCCGCGUGCGGGAAGAAGGCCUUCGGGUUGUAAACCGCUUUUGGCAGGAACGAAACGGUGUCCGCUAAUACCGGGCGCUAAUGACGGUACCUGCAGAAUAAGCACCGGCUAACUACGUG
rnacentral:rRNA from 1 species